UACAGAGGGGGCAAGCGUUAUUCGGAAUUAUUGGGCGUAAAGGGCGCGUAGGCGGCCUGGCAAGUGGAAGGUGAAAUCCCUCGGCUUAACCGAGGAACUGCCCUCCAAACUGCUUGGCUUGAGUCCGGGAGAGGUGAGUGGAAUUCCCAGUGUAGCGGUGAAAUGCGUAGAUAUUGGGAGGAACACCAGUGGCGAAGGCGGCUCACUGGACCGGAGCUGACGCUGAUGCGCGAAAGCGUGGGGAGCAAACGGG
rnacentral:rRNA from 1 species